GUACAGUGUUGUUCCACUUUAACAAUUCGUUAACCUACCGAGCCACCAUAAGACCACCAACAAUGUAACUUUUAACCGAAGCAGUUAUCACUUGAACUUUAUUUGAAAAAAUAUAGGAAAGGACAAAGUUUGCUCAUGAGCGGUAGGAACAGAUGUUAUAGCGGGAAUGUCCUAUGUGACAAGUGAGCAGUCUGGAGCAUCAUCGCAGUAUAUCUGCGCAGAUAUGUGAAAAGGAAAGGUCAUAGGAGAACAGAGCAAAAAAUUUAGACAGAAAAAAAAAAGAGGGGAAUACGAGACAAAAAACCCCAUCUUUUUUAGAAGGGGGGAGGAAGGGGGAAAGCAAAGCUCCAGAACAGGAAGGGUGAUGUAUAGGUGGAGUAAGUAAAUAGGUAUGUCACCCAUCCAGUGCGCCCUCCAAUUCCUGGUACUAUUCCCCAAAAAGGGAGUAAC